rnacentral:rRNA from 1 species
UACGUAGGGUGCAAGCGUUAAUCGGAAUUACUGGGCGUAAAGCGUGCGCAGGCGGUUUUUGUAAGUCUGUCGUGAAAGCCCCGGGCUCAACCUGGGAAUUGCGAUGGAGGCUGCAAGGCUUGAAUCUGGCAGAGGGGGGGUAGAAUUCCACGUGUAGCAGUGAAAUGCGUAGAGAUGUGGAGGAACACCGAUGGCGAAGGCAGCCCCCCUGGGUCAAAAACUGACGCUCAUGCACGAAAGCGUGGGGGAGCAAACAGG